rnacentral:pre_miRNA from 3 species
CUGAGCAAGAUGGAGAAGCAGGGCACGUGCAAUUCUAACUCAUGAAACCAUAGAAUCAUCUUGUUUUUUCUUCUUUUCACUCUAACCAAAUAGAUUCCUCUACCUGCAGUGAGUUAGUCCUUCAUGUGCCCCCCUUCCCCAUCAUGACGGC